rnacentral:rRNA from 1 species
AUCAACUUUCGAUGGUAGGAUAGAGGCCUACCAUGGUGGUAACGGGUAACGGGGUGUUAGGGCACGACACCGGAGAUGGAGCCUGAGAAACGGCUACCACAUCCAAGGAUGGCAGCAGGCGCGCAAAUUACCCAAUCCCGACACGGGGAGGUAGUGACAAUAAAUAACAAUACGGGGUUCUUUAGGAUCUUGUAAUUGGAAUGAGUACAAUUUAAAUCUCUUAACGAGGAACAAUUGGAGGGCAAGUCUGGUGCCAGCAGCCGCGGUAAUUCCAGCUCCAAUAGCGUAUAUUAAAGUUGUUGCAGUUAAAAAGCUCGUAGUUGAAUUUCGGGGUUAGUAGGUUGGUCAUGCCUCUGGUAUGUACUGGUCUCACUGAUUCCUCCUUCCUGAUGAACCGUAAUGCCAUUAAUUUGGUGUUGCGGGGAAUUUGGACUGUUACUUUGAAAAAAUUAGAGUGUUUAAAGCAAGCUAACGCUUGAAUACAUUAGCAUGGAAUAAUGAAAUAGGACGUUCGAUCCUAUUUUGUUGGUUUCUAGGAUUGACGUAAUGAUUAAUAGGGAUAGUUGGGGGCAUUAGUAUCCAAUUGUCAGAGGUGAAAUUCUUGGAUUUAUUGAAGACUAACUACUGCGAAAGCAUUUGCCAAGGAUGUUUUCAUUAAUCAAGAACGAAAGUUAGGGGAUCGAAGACGAUCAGAUACCGUCGUAGUCUUAACCAUAAACUAUGCCGACUAGGGAUCGGAUGAUGUUAAUUUUUUAAUGACUCAUUCGGCGCCUUACGGGAAACCAAAGUGUUUGGGUUC